ACCGGAACUGCAUCAGAAAUCUCCUUCAACUCCUCUUUUGUUAGCUUCAUCCUCAAUGCUUCAAUAUUGUCUACCAGGUUUUUAAUCUUAGUCGUCCCAGGGAUGGGAACUACAUCAUCCCCUUGAUUGAGAACCCAUGCAUGCAAGGGCAAGCUGAGCAGCACUGCAUCCAUAGUUUUUGGCCAAAUUUUCUAUUCGAGUAUAGAACAUCUUAUUCUUUUCCAAAUUUUCUCCUGCAAACCUUGGAUAUGAUUUCAGUAUAGUCUCUGAAGGCAAACUUUCCACAAC
rnacentral:misc_RNA from 1 species